rnacentral:rRNA from 1 species
ACGUAGGGUGCAAGCGUUAAUCGGAAUUACUGGGCGUAAAGCGUGCGCAGGCGGUUAUAUAAGUCAGAUGUGAAAUCCCCGGGCUCAACCUGGGAACUGCAUUUGAGACUGUAUAGCUAGAGUACGGUAGAGGGGGAUGGAAUUCCGCGUGUAGCAGUGAAAUGCGUAGAUAUGCGGAGGAACACCGAUGGCGAAGGCAAUCCCCUGGACCUGUACUGACGCUCAUGCACGAAAGCGUGGGGAGCAAACAGGAUUAGAUACCCUGGUAGUCCACGCCCUAAACGAUGUCAACUGGUUGUUGGGUCUUAACUGACUCAGUAACGAAGCUAACGCGUGAAGUUGACCGCCUGGGGAGUACGGCCGCAAGGUUG